GACGAACGCUGGCGGCGUGCCUAAUACAUGCAAGUCGAACGCUUCUUUCCUCCCUAGUGCUUGCACUCUAUUUGAAAGAGGAGAGCCUGACGGUUGAGUAACACUUGCUUAACCUACCCAUCAGUAGUGGAUAACACUUGCAAACAGGUGCUAAUACCUCAUAACUGUUUAUGCCGCAUUUCAUUAGAGUGAAUGGCACUUUCGGAUGCCGCUGAUGGAUGGACCCGCGGUUCAUUAGCUAGUUGGUGAGGUCACGGGUCACCUAGGCCACGAUGCAUAGCCGACAUGAGAGCGUGAUCGGACACACGGGCACUGAGAAACGGCCGAGACUCCUACGGGAGGAAGCAGUAGGGAAUCUUCGGCAAUGGACGAAAGUCUAACCGAGCAAAGCGGCGUGAGGGAAGAAGGUUUUCGGAUGGUAAAACGAUGUUGUUAGAGAAGAACAAGAACGUUAGUAACUGAGCGUACAAUGACGGUAUCUAAACAGAAAGCCACGGCUAACUACGUG
rnacentral:rRNA from 1 species